UGAACUGCUAAUCGGAAUCUCAUCUUAUCGCUUUAUCGGGAUCGGCGUCUGCUUCAUUAGUCAUUAUCUGCCGCUUACAUCCGUAGAAUGUAAUUCGCACGUGGGCCUUACUUCUUUUAUCUUUUGAUGUGUAAAAUUGUGUUUAUACGGGAUUUGAUAUUCCUGGAACUGAAGCAGAACUCGUGAGAAAGAGUAGCCACAAACAUCAUUUUUGCUAAUGGUUGAACCUGGAUCAUGUUCUGGCUGGUGAACAAGUACAAGCUGCAUAAAAGUUCAUGUGGGGAAUUGUGCUUAGAAAGCCGCACCCAUGGGCAUGGGACUUUGAGCUGCUGCACCGUGAAAGCCAUGGAAAAACAUCCUGCCAAUGAGAAACCUACUUUUGACGCCUUCUCAGCUGCCAGUAGCGUCACGAAAACCAACAACAGCAUCGCCUUCGUUCGCCAUACCAGCAACAUACCUGUUCGUGACUUAAGACUUUCCCUCCAAAGGACGACACAACAUUCUUGGUGAAUUUCAUUAGCUGUAAGUACGCAACUGAGAAGUGAAUCCAUCGAGUUCCUGAGGUUACGAAAGAAACUUGACACCUCGAUACCGUCUCAGCCCUUUCACGGAUCAUAGAAACGUGUAACAGCUUGCGAAGUUUUGUAUUCAUCGGACAAAAUUUUCCGGCUUUAAUCAACUCAGCUCCGCAUCUCCAAGUUGAAGUCGUGGAAGUUCAAUUAAUCGGAUAUGGAAACAGUCUUUAAACAACUCGCUGCAAAACUUUGGCUCCUCUAGAAGGAUUAAGUUAUUGCUUUCGAAACCCUCCAUAUGGGAUUAUUGCAAGAUUGAGGACGUGUAUAAUGCAGUACAUUCCUAACUGGCACGAACUCACGUUUGACAGCAAAAUAAAAAUCGACAGUUGUGUCGUAACGUACACACCAUACGUAACGUAGAAGCCAAGCAUUCGUAGUGACCAUGCAGCUAGGCAGAAGAUACAACACUAUCUGGUGAGAUCAUCCAACGAGGGCUACAAUUGGAGAUCGACGUCUAAUCAAGUUCUAGAAGAAAUAUGCGCUCUUCGAGAUUUGCGCUGCUGGUCUAGAAUAUUUUUCGUCGUGGUGGAUUGGAGCAACAGCUCAGUUUCACGAAUUCCGUUUGGAUAUCCAAUAGGUGUAUUACGUACUCUAUUGGAGACUGUUAGACAAUCUUACAGAAUUUCU